GCGUCUUUGACUCAGCGGUAGAGCAUCGCCUUGCCAAGGCGAGGGUCGCGGGUUCGAUUCCCGUCGUCCGCUCCA
rnacentral:tRNA from 1 species